UAAUUAACCACUUAGUUUAUUAAAAUAUAAUUGUGCCCUUUAAAUUAAAUCCAAUCAUCAUUCUAAAUCUGUUGUUUUUUUUAGGUUGCUGACCAAAGUAACAGUCUGGAUGAACUGAAAUUAGUGUGCAAGGAGUGCAAAGUACUGAAGCCUGUCCAAAAAGUGAUUUCUUCAUUUCUUGGAUGUAAAUGGGAAUUGCUUAGUGCAAAAUUGGGAGAGAAAGUCAGCGUUGACCAGUUAAGGAAAUUUACAGGAAAAGAUGAAACCAACCUUAUUUUCAGACAAAACUUGGAAUAUCUGCAAAAGAGUCUGACCAUCGAGGAAUCAGACCAGCCACUAGUUGUAUCACCCAAUGUAUUUCUGAUGGACCAGGGAACAAGCGGCGUUGUCCACAUGUGUGUUGACCCACUGGGACUGCAGCAAGGGGUCAUACGGGCAAGAAAAAGGAUUUUCAUUAGCCUUAUGUAAGCUUUCACCACAUCAGGUUUGCUGGACCUAGUGGACCGUUUAAAUUUUGGUGUGUGCCACAUUUUCAACGUAGCAAUAAUGGGGGAUAUCCAUCAAUUAAUGGAAA